CCAGGCUGCAGUGCCAAAGAGCUGCCCCUUGCUGUGUCAGUGCUCCAGUUUUUCUGCAGCUCACCCAAGGCUGCUGUCCACUAUGCUGCUGUUCCCACCCUCAGUAAGGUUGCCAUGAAGCAUCUGUCAGCUGUGACAGCUUGUAAUCUGGAUCUGGAGAACCUGGUCACAGACUGAAACCGCAGCCGUGCCAUGCUGGCCAUCGCCACCCUCCUUAAGAGGGGCAGUGACAGCAGCAUCGACCACCUCAUGAAGCAGUUCUCCUCCUUCAUGUCAGAGAUCUUGGAUGAAUUCAAGGUGGUGGUUGUCCAGGCUAUCAGUGCCCUGUGUCAGAAGUAUCCUCGCAAACAUGCCAUCCUCAUGAACUUCCUGUUCACCAUGCUGUGGGAAGAGGGUGGUUUUGAGUACAAGCACACCACCGUGGACUGCAUCAUCAGCAUCAUUGAGGAGAACUCAGAGAGCAAGGAGACAGGGCUGUCACAUCUGUGCGAGUUCAUCGAGGACUGCGAGUUCACAGUGCUGGCCACCCGUAUUCUACAUCUUCUGGGCCAGGAGGGGUCCAAGAACACCAAUCCCUCAAAGUACAUCCACUUCAUCUAUAACCGAGUGGUCUUGGAGCAUGAGGAGGUCUGGGCAGGUGCUGUGAGUGCUCUGGCCAAGAUUGGAGCCCAGAAUGAAGAGAUGUUACCCAGUAUCUUGGUGUUGCUGAAGAGGUGUGUGAUGGAUGAUGGCAAUGAAGUAAGGGACCGAGCCACCUUCUACCUAAAUGUCCUGGAGCAGAAGCAGAAAGCCCUCAAUGCAGGCUAUAUGCUAAAUGGUCUGACUGUGUCCAUCCUGGUCUGGAGAGGGCUCUGCAGCAGUACGCUCUAGAACCAUCAGAAAAACCUUUUGACCUCAAGUCUGUGCCCCUGGCCACGGCACCCACGGCAGAGCAGAGAACAGAAAGUACUCCCAUCACAGCUGUCAAACAGCCUGAGAAAGUGGCAGCUACCAGGCAGGAGGUCUUCAGGAGCAGUUGGUGGCGGUGCCAGAGUUCCAGGGACUUGGGCCCUUCUUCAAGUCCUCGCCUGAGCCCGUGGCCCUCACAGAGUCAGAGACGGGGGAAUGUCACCCGCUGCACCAAACAAACCUUCACCAACUACAUGGUGUUUCAGUUUGACUGCACAAACACAGUCAAUGACCAGACCCUGGAAAAUGUCACAGUGCAGAUGGAGCCCACUGAGGCCUAUGAGGUGCUCUGUUACGUGCCUGCCCAGAGCCUGCCCUACAACCAGCCUGGGACCUGCUACACACUGGUGGCACUGCCCAAAGAAGAUGCCACAACCUGCGCAUUCAGCUGCAUGAUGAAGCUCACUGUCAAGGACCGUGAUCCCACCACUGGGGAGACGGAUGACGAAGGCUAUGAGGAUGAGUAUGUGCUGGAAGAUCUGGAAGUUACUGUAGCUGAUCACAUUCAAGUCAUGAAACUGAACUUCGAAGCAGCCUGGGAUGAGGUAGGGGAUGAAUUUGAGAAGGAAGAAACGUUCAGCUUGUCUACCAUCAAGGCACUUCAAGAGGCUGUGGGUAAUAUUGUGAAGUUCUUGGGAAUGAACCCUUGUGAGAGGUCAAAGUGCCGGGGAACAAGAACACCCACAUGUUGGUCCUGGCUGGUGUGUUCCGGGGUGGUCAUGACAUCCUAGUGCACUCUCGGCUGCUGCUUUUGGACACAGUGACAACGCAGUUGACACCCAGAAGUUUGGAGGAGCUGCCAGUAGACAUCAUCUUGGUCUAUCUUUUUCGAACUUCUCAACAUUCCUCUGCUCAUCCUCACCCGCGCCCUUGGAAUACCACACUUGUACAGACAACAACACCAAUCACUACGUCACAUAUCGCCAACACUGCGCGGGAAACCCCCCCCCCCGUCGCGGUGGCUCAGCCUCGCUCACACUCCCCACGCACUUCUGGGGCACGCGGCCCCGAGGACUGGCGCCGGAUCACCGAGGCUCAGCCCCCCACGGAGAUCGAGACCAAUCCUCGCUAA